rnacentral:rRNA from 1 species
AGUGAACGCUGGCGGUAGGCCUAACACAUGCAAGUCGAACGGCAGCACAGUAAGAGCUUGCUCUUACGGGUGGCGAGUGGCGGACGGGUGAGGAAUACAUCGGAAUCUACUUUUUCGUGGGGGAUAACGUAGGGAAACUUACGCUAAUACCGCAUACGACCUACGGGUGAAAGCAGGGGAUCUUCGGACCUUGCGCGAUUGAAUGAGCCGAUGUCGGAUUAGCUAGUUGGCGGGGUAAAGGCCCACCAAGGCGACGAUCCGUAGCUGGUCUGAGAGGAUGAUCGGCCACACUGGAACUGAGACACGGUCCAGACUCCUACGGGAGGCAGCAGUGGGGAAUAUUGGACAAUGGGCGCAAGCCUGAUCCAGCCAUACCGCGUGGGUGAAGAAGGCCUUCGGGUUGUAAGGCCCUUUUGUUGGGAAAGAAAAGCAGCAGGUUAAUACCCCGCUGUUCUGACGGUACCCAAAGAAUAAGCACCGGCUAACUUCGUG